AAUGUGGCACUGCUUCGGUAGUGUGUUAUAGUCUUUGUCGAUACUGCCAGCUUAGACUGAGGACUGCGGCUUCGGCCUAGGAGUUGGCAUAAUGAUCUUAAGUCGCCCGUCUUGAAACACGGACCAAGGAGUCACCCCCGUGCCCCCGCCCCGCU
rnacentral:rRNA from 1 species